GAGUUUGAUCCUGGCUCAGAACGAACGCUGGCGGCGUGCUUAACACAUGCAAGUCGAACGCGAAAGCCCGCAAGGGUGAGUAGAGUGGCGCACGGGUGAGUAACACGUAAGCAAUCUGCCCUUGAGUGGGGGACAACGUUCCGAAAGGAGCGCUAAUACCGCAUAACCCGGUAGGGACCCAGGUCCCGGCCGGCAAAGAUGGCCUCUGCUUGCAUGCUAUCGCUUAAGGAGGAGCUUGCGUCCCAUUAGGUAGUUGGUGAGGUAACGGCUCACCAAGCCCGCGAUGGGUAGCCGGCCUGAGAGGGUAACCGGCCACGCUGGCACUGAGACACGGGCCAGACUCCUACGGGAGGCAGCAGUGAGGAAUUUUGGGCAAUGGGCGAAAGCCUGACCCAGCGACGCCGCGUGGGUGAUGAAGGCCUUCGGGUCGUAAAACCCUGUGAGAUGGGAAGAAGCCGUUGCGUGCUAAUACCACGUCGCGGUGACAGUACCAUCAGAGGAAGCCCCGGCUAACUACGUGCCAGCAGCCGCGGUAAAACGUAGGGGGCUAGCGUUGUUCGGAAUUACUGGGCGUAAAGCGCGUGUAGGCGGCUUGGCAAGUCGGAAGUGAAAGCCCCAGGCUCAACUUGGGAAUUGCUUUCGAAACUGCCCUAGCUUG
rnacentral:rRNA from 1 species